UUUACUCCUAUAAAAGAACUAAUGGUGGUGGCCGUACGUCACACCAUCCCGUCUCCGGCGAGUGGGACCUGCUUUCCAGUGCCUUCCGCCGCCCCCCACGCCCGAAUGCCCAAUUGAUCGGCGAGCCUGGAGCUCCCCUUGACAGAAGGAAAAAUCAGAUCACAUCCGGUUCUUCUCGUCAGUGUGCUUCCCUCCGUCCUUGGAUCCAGCUCUUCUCGCGUCGCCGGCCACCGCGCCAUCCUCCGCCCCCUCCCUCAUCUGUGGAGGGGGCCGCCGCCAGCCUGCCACAGAGCUGGCCCCGGACCCUUCCCUUCGUUGACCUCAUCCAUGAAGAUCGGGAAGUCUGGCCGGCACGGUCGCGGAUCCUCUGGACGCUCUAGCAGCCCUGGUCGCCAGGAAGGGGAGAAAGGAGGUUGACGGCCGGCGAAUUGUUGGGCGGUGUGCACGGACGGAUCAGGCCCGGGUUCCCUACCCUUUGCCCCCUCUCUUUCUCAUCCGCAGAUGACGACGCAGCCAUGGAGCCCCGGCUCACCUCCAUGGCUCCAUCAGACCAUCACCGGCGCCCGUGAGCUCACCUCCGCCACCGGUCAAAUUCCGCCGCCAACAGCGACAGUGGGUUCGCCGCCGCCACCGACAAAAUCUCCUCCACCGCCGGUUCCAGUGAGCCCCCUCCCCAAUCCCCACCACCACCAGCACUGCCUUCUCCGUUGAGUUCUCCACCUCCUCCCGCCGGCAGCCCUGGCGCUGCCUGCAGAACUCCACAUUAGUUCGAGCUGCAGUUUCUCUCCCUGGAGUUCCAUGAAGAGCCACAACUCGACUGCAAGCCAACAAAUUGAAGUCCCAGAGAUCGCGACGGCGGAUGGUGAGAACAGAGGCAGCAGCAGCAGGGUGCCAGCGAAGAGUGAUGAUAGUUCAGAUGUUGGUCAGAGGAUGAGUAAGAUUAGAUCGAAGAAACCAAAUAAGCAGAAAACUCUACCACUCUAGGUACAACGACUGCACUGAUUAGCGACUACUGAAGUCUAAUCUGGAUAGAUUGUCAUGGUGUCUCUACUCUGCACCGUCCAGUGACUAGAUUACUACACUCAACCUCAUUUACUACUACUACAACAUUGUUUAGUUAUCGCUGAACUACAGUGUUAAUGUCUUAUGGUGUGUACUUAUUCCUACUCUAGCAAUUGCAUGUUUAGUUAUCGAUGAACUUCCAGUCUCGUGUUUAUUUUUUACAUUCAUACAUCAUCUGUUGUAUAUUAACUUUAUAUUAUAAUGCUAUGAAUAAAUAAUAUUAGAUGAGGAAUGUAACAUA